CUCUUUGAGUAUGCAACUGCAUAACCAUGAAAAGACAUGGCAAAAGAUGUUGGAACACUUAAAAAAAAUCUGAUUUAUUGACAGUUAAUUGUAUCGGCAUCUGGAAAUAAAUGGGGAAAACUAUGUGGACUUCUAAACAAGAAAGUUAACCAAACAAUAUAAGAUUGCUACACAUAAUGUGAUCUCACGCCUUCUUACUUGAUAGCAUGUCUGACACUUUGGCUUCCAGACCAUCAGCUUAAACCAUUAGUAUCAUUGCAGCAUGCAUAGAUUUAUCAUUUUUCUGCAUCAUGUAGCACAUAAACUAAAACAGAAAUGCUGAUAUGUGGAAACGCAGAAACAAACAUUGGGAAAUAACAUUUUCUAAAAAUAUAGGAAAUGGAAACAUGGAUAAACAUGUAAAUAUUAAAAAUAUAGGG
rnacentral:misc_RNA from 1 species